GACGACGCUGGCGGCGUGCUUAACACAUGCAAGUCGAACGAGUGGCGGACGGGUGAGUAAUGUCUGGGAAACUGCCUGAUGGAGGGGGAUAACUACUGGAAACGGUAGCUAAUACCGCAUACCAUCGGAUGUGCCCAGAUGGGAUUAGCUAGUAGGUGGGGUAAAGGCUCACCUAGGCGACGAUCCCUAGCUGGUCUGAGAGGAUGACCAGCCACACUGCACCUGAGACACGUCCCAGACUCCUACCGGAGGCACCAGUGGGCAAUAUUGCACAAUUGGCGCAAGCCUUAUGCAGCCAUGCCGCGUGUAUGAAGAAGGCCUUCCGGUUGUAAAGUACUUUCAGCUGGGAGGCGUUACCCGCAGAAGAAGCCCCGGCUAACUCCGUGCCAGCAGCCGCGGUAAUAC
rnacentral:rRNA from 1 species